AAGUUUUGCCGGCGCCGCCGGGGGCGGGGGCGAGGGCGCGGGCGCGGGCGCUCCCCGGAGUCUCAGCCCCGGCCGGCAGGGGGACGCGCGCGGGGGCCGCGCUAGCAGUGGCCGGAGGAGGCGAGCAGGGGCUCGGGCAGCUGCUUGAACAAGUUCCGCAGGGUGCUGAGCUCGCGCGACAGCUGCUCCACCUUCUUCUGCAGCCGCUCGUUCUCGGCCGUGAGCUCCAGGACCUUGUGCUGCGUCUCCAGGUUGCGCAUCUUGGCCUUGUCGCGGCUCUUGCGCACGGCGAUGUUGUUGCGCUCGCGCCGGAUCUUGUACUCGUCGCUGUGCUUGUCCACGGUCUUCUUGGCCUUGCUCUUGACCUGCGAGGGCGCCGGCGCGGCCCCCGCGUAGCAGGCGGUCGGGGGCGCCUUGGCGUCAGCGGGGCUCGGCGUGCCGGGCGGGCUGGACGAGGAGGACGUGGAGAGGCUCCCGCUGCUGCCGCUCGGCACCGCCUGGUAGCCGAGGUAAGCGCGCAGCGCGUACGGGAAGCCCGCCGCCAUGCCUGCGCCGCCGCCCGGCGCCCCGGCCUCCUCCUUCCGCUUGCAGUCCGCGGGCUCGAAGCCCGGCUCCGCCUUGAGCUCGGCGGGCGGCGGCGGCGGCGGGGGCGGUGGG
rnacentral:lncRNA from 1 species